rnacentral:lncRNA from 1 species
CUCUCUAGUUGCUGCGUCGCUCUCUCCUCUCAAAUCCCUAGUAAAUCUUGUUGGGGCGAUCCGAGAGAAAGACUCUGCUGCAAACAUGUUGGUUUACCAAGACCUCCUCACUGGUAAUUUCCCCCGUUAUUUUAUUUUCCCCCUCUCUGUCUUAAAUUAGGGUUUUAGUUUUGUUCAUAUUAGUUUUCAGGGAUGAUACGAAGUUAGAUCUCUGUUAAAUCUCCAAAUUUUAGGUUAGGCUAGGGAUCUGAUUUUGUUCACUGGCGCCCAAUUUUCACUACUGCCGUAUUUGUCUUGUUGUUUCACAAAUUUCUUGAUCUAUAGCUGCUGUAUUUAUUUUGUGUUGAUUAUGUGCAAGUUUUGUUUUAUGUAAUCAGCUACUGGGCUGCAUGUUGUGUAUAUUUUGUCAAGCUACUGAAUUGUUCUGUUCCAACUGAUUUAAAAAAACCUAAUUAGUAGUUUUAAUCAGUAUUUCAAUGGCUUUCGAACUAUUUUUUAUAUUUUUGUUUGCAUAUGCAUGUGAUGUGGUUGGUGGAAGAUGUUUGGAUUGAAUAUAGCUUUGUCAUCAUGACGCAACUCUAAAACUUUGAUGGGUUAACUAAGUACUUUAACUUAGAUACUUUUAUAAGUUUGUUUGUGAUGUUCUUCUUGUUCGAUCUGAUUUUUUUUAUUGAGCUUAUAUAUAUCGAAGCUCUCGUUUCAAGUUGUUGACCAAUUUUAGUGUAUUCAUACUAGGUGAUGAGCUUCUCUCGGACUCGUUUCCAUACAAGGAAGUCCAUAAUGGAGUGUUGUGGGAAGUUGAUGGAAAGGUAGGUUCAUCAAUUUUGAACUUAACAAGCUUAACAGAUGGUUCUCGCAAUGAUUUUAAUUUAUUCGCGUAACUCAAACUUUGCAAGUAGAAAAUAAAGUCGGAUGAUGUAUUUAAUGUGUGGGUAUCAGGGUGGUUGUAUUGAGCUCUGCUGUUUUAUCUUAACUUCUACUGUUGCACAGUUGAUUAAAUGUAAGUUUGUAUGAUUGUUGUCUCCAGUGGGUUGUGCAAGGAGCAGUUGAUGUAGACAUUGGUGCAAAUCCCUCUGCUGAAGGUGGUGGGGAAGAUGAGGGUGUUGAUGAUCAAACCGUGAAGGUGGUUGACAUCGUUGACACAUUUAGGCUUCAGGUAUGUAGUGCCCGCUGUUCUGUUGGCCCCGAAACUUUGUCUCGGAUUAGGAAUUUUAUUGUUAUUGCCUGAUGCUUGCAGGAGCAACCUCCUUUCGACAAGAAGCAGUUUGUCACAUGGGUGAAGAGGUACAUCAAACUGUUGACACCCAAGCUGGAGGGGGAGAAACAAGAGGAAUUCAAGAAGAACAUUGAGGGAGCAACCAAGUUUCUGCUUUCGAAGCUCAGUGACCUCCAAUUGUAAGUUUUGUUGGUCCCUUUAGUGAUUUACCAUGUUAGUCAUCCCGUCGGUAGAAUACUUUGGCACUUGCUAUCAUUGUGGAAUUUUUACUCGAAAAAAGAUACAAGCAUUGAAUCACAUGUUCUUUUGCAGCUUUGUUGGGGAGAGCAUGCAUGAUGAUGGCGGUUUGGUGUUUGCCUACUACAAGGAGGGUGCCACUGACCCAACAUUUAUCUACUUUGCGCAUGGUUUGAGGGAGGUCAAGUGCUAAGUAUUGGCACAGCUGGCUUCAAGCAGAAUGCUUGUUGUAAUCCUAGUCUAUAUUGUUGCUUUUUUUUUUUUCUUCUCUAAAUUGGGGAAUCAGGAGUCUAUUUUUGCUUGUUUUCUUUAGAAUGUUUUGCAUUUGGUGACUUGAGGCUUUAUGCCACCUUCUAUCUCGGUUUUUAAUGGUAUUUUCGAAUUUCGACUUGGAUUUCUAAUUUAUUUGGCUCUAUGUUUUGAUUGAGAAAUAAGAAUAAUAUUGUAUUCUAGAUUUUAG